rnacentral:rRNA from 1 species
AUUGAACUCUGUCGGCAGGCCUAACACAUGCAAGUCGAACGAGUGGCGGACGGGUGAGUAAUGUCGGGGAAACUGCCUGAUGGCGGGGGAUAACUACUGGAAACGGUAGCUAAUACAGCAUACCAUCGAAUGUGCCCAGAUGGGAUUAGCUAGUAGGUGGGGUAACGGCUCACCUAGGCGCCGAUCCCUAGCUGGGCUGAGAGGAUGACCAGCCACACUGGAACUGAGACACGGUCCAGACUCCUACGGGAGGCAGCAGUGAGGAAUAUUGCACAAUGGGCGCAAGCCUGAUGCAGACAUGCCGCGUGUAUGAAGAAGGCCUUCGGGUUGUAAAGUACUUUCAGCGGGGAGGCGUUACCCGCAGAAGAAGCACCGGCUAACUCCGUGCCAGCAGCCGCGGUAAUAC